rnacentral:lncRNA from 1 species
GCCGGUAAAAAAAUAACAGCUUAUAAAAUAUAAGGAAACGGUUGAAUAAAAUCUGGUUAGGUUAAAGACAUAUUUGGUAGGACUUCUUCAUGCUCUGGCUUCUUGCUACAGCACUAGAGGAGUCGGAGCUACAAGGCCUUGUUUAGUUUACCCUGAAAACCAAAAAGUUUUCAAGAUUCCCCGUCACAUCGAAUCUUGUGGCACAUGCAUGAAACAUUAAAUAUAGACGAAAACAAAAACUAAUUACACAGUUUAGCUGGAAAUCACGAGACGAAUCUUUUGAUCCUAGUUAGUCCAUGAUUGAAUAAUAUUAGUCACAAACAAACGAAAGUGCUACAGUACUGAAAACUUUUCACUUUUCGAAACUAAACAAGGCCCCAGUUUAUUUUAAGUAGAAAGAGAAAAAAAAGUUUUUUUUAUGAACAAUAUGUUCAGCCUAUAUUCAUUUUAUCCCUAAGAGCCUGUUUAAAUAAACUCAAAAACCCAAAAGUUUAUAAAAUUUUCCAUCAAAUCAAAUCUUACAGUAAAUGCAUGAAGCAUUAAAUAUAGAUAAAAAAUAACUAAUUCUACAGUUUAUCUAUAAAUCACGAGAUGAAUUUUUUAAGUCUAGUUAGUUCAUAAUUUGAUAAUAUGUGUGAAACGAAAAUGAAAGUCCUAC